rfam:Stegodyphus mimosarum contig47397, whole genome shotgun sequence.
GCCUUCGUGGUGUAACGGUAGCACACUCGGAACGUAUUCGAGAGGUCGAGGUUCGAGUCCCGGAGAAGGCA